rnacentral:rRNA from 1 species
GUCCACGCCGUAAACGAUGAUAACUAGUUGUUCGGGCACUUGGUGCCUGAGUGACGCAGCUAACGCAUUAAGUUAUCCGCCUGGGGAGUACGGUCGCAAGAUUAAAACUCAAAGGAAUUGACGGGGGCCUGCACAAGCGGUGGAGCAUGUGGUUUAAUUCGAAGCAACGCGCAGAACCUUACCAGCCUUUGACAUCCCGCGCUACCUGGAGAGAUUCAGGGGUUCCUUUCGGGGACGCGGUGACAGGUGCUGCAUGGCUGUCGU